rnacentral:rRNA from 1 species
AGGUACUCCGGGGAUAACAGGCUGAUACCGCCCAAGAGUUCAUAUCGACGGCGGUGUUUGGCACCUCGAUGUCGGCUCAUCACAUCCUGGGGCUGAAGUAGGUCCCAAGGGUAUGGCUGUUCGCCAUUUAAAGUGGUACGCGAGCUGGGUUUAGAACGUCGUGAGACAGUUCGGUCCCUAUCUGCCGUGGGCGCUGGAGAACUGAGGGGGGCUGCUCCUAGUACGAGAGGACCGGAGUGGACGCAUCACUGGUGUUCGGGUUGUCAUGCCAAUGGCACUGCCCGGUAGCUAAAUGCGGAAGAGAUAAGUGCUGAAAGCAUCUAAGCACGAAACUUGCCCCGAGAUGAGUUCUCCCUGAGACUU